rnacentral:rRNA from 1 species
GAUGAACGCUGGCGGCGUGCCUAAUACAUGCAAGUCGAGCGAACAGACGAGGAGCUUGCUCCUCUGACGUUAGCGGCGGACGGGUGAGUAACACGUGGAUAACCUACCUAUAAGACUGGGAUAACUUCGGGAAACCGGAGCUAAUACCGGAUAAUAUAUUGAACCGCAUGGUUCAAUAGUGAAAGACGGUUUUGCUGUCACUUAUAGAUGGAUCCGCGCCUCAUUAGCUAGUUGGUAAGGUAACGGCUUACCAAGGCGACGAUGCGUAGCCGACCUGAGAGGGUGAUCGGCCACACUGGAACUGAGACACGGUCCAGACUCCUACGGGAGGCAGCAGUAGGGAAUCUUCCGCAAUGGGCGAAAGCCUGACGGAGCAACGCCGCGUGAGUGAUGAAGGUCUUCGGAUCGUAAAACUCUGUUAUUAGGGAAGAACAAAUGUGUAAGUAACUAUGCACGUCUUGACGGUACCUAAUCAGAAAGCCACGGCUAACUACGUG